UACGAAGGGGGCUAGCGUUGCUCGGAAUGACUGGGCGUAAAGGGCGCGUAGGCGGCGCGAGUAGUCAGGCGUGAAAUUCCUGGGCUCAACCUGGGGGCUGCGCUUGAUACGCUCGUGCUAGAGGAUGGAAGAGGCUCGUGGAAUUCCCAGUGUAGAGGUGAAAUUCGUAGAUAUUGGGAAGAACACCGGUGGCGAAGGCGGCUCACUGGCCCGUAACUGACGCUCAUGCACGACAGCGUGGGGAGUCAAACAGG
rnacentral:rRNA from 1 species